AAAAAUUCCGGUGAGAUGGUCGCCGUAAGUUCGUUUUCCGGCGAAUAUCCCGGCGUUAUAGUUACCUGUGAUCGGAUCGAAACUUACUUCACUCCAGCAAUGGAAUAAUCACCACACUGGUUUUUAUCUCCGGCGACGCUAAUUUGCGACUGGCAGAAAUAAGCAGCUGGAUUUCCGGUGAGAUCCGAAUAGGUUUCCUUACCUGGUUUGGAUCCGAAUCGCUAUCUGUUUUUCCUUACUGAAUAAUUCAUUUCUCAUUCAAUUUGCCUCUUUUCUCAAGUUUAAUAAGCUUUGUUCUGUGUAUCUUAUAUUUUCUGCUUCAAAAUAAGGGAAAAUUUCUGAAUAAUAUGUGAAAUUUGAAUCUCAGUGGAAAAAACGCGAGGAAGUUUGA
rnacentral:misc_RNA from 1 species